CUUAGACAUCAGUAUAGCAUCCUACCUACAUAAAUCAAUAAGCUGAGGCCCAGCAGCCCCCAGGACAAUGCUGUUUCAGUCCUCAGCACGUUUCCUGGAGGACAUGUGAGUGACACUGGGCUACCUUCUCCACCCCCCUUCCAAUCCUGCACUGCUGAUAUGGUGGCCCAGGGGUCUGUGAACUAUCAAGCCUUUCACACGCCCAGCCUUCUGAAAGGGGUGGAGGCAUCCAGGCCCCAGGAGCAGUGAUGGAAAAUCCUGGAGAGAAGGGCGCUGUGGUUGCUGCCACACCAAACCGAGGUCUCCAGUUUCCGAUGGCAUGGGACAUGCGUGCUAUUGACAGAGGACAGCUCAGAGCGAGGCUUGCACAGCACAUCCCCAGCCUUGGGUUCUCAAAACAACAGUGCAAGGACUCUUGAGUCGGCUUCUGGAAGUCCCAGCUGAGAAGCAGCCUCCAAAACACGGCGUUUCUGCAGCCCCUCUGAGGAACAGAGGACAAUGCUCCGUCCAG
ensembl:lncRNA